AGUGAACGCUGGCGGUAGGCCUAACACAUGCAAGUCGAACGGCAGCACAGUAAGAGCUUGCUCUUACGGGUGGCGAGUGGCGGACGUGUGAGGAAUACAUCCGAAUCUACUUUUUCGGGUGGGAUAACGUAAGGAAACUUACGCUAAUACCGCAUACGACCUACGGGUGAAAGCAUUGGAUCUUCGGACCGUGCGCGAUUGGAUGAGCCGGUGUGGGGUUAGUUAGUUGGCGGGGUAAAGGCCCAGCAAGGGGACGAUCCUUAGCUGGUCUGAGAGGAUGAGCCGCCACAAGGGGACUGCGACACGGACCAGACUCCUACGAGAGGCAGGAGUGGGGAAUAAUGGAGCAGGGGCGCAAGCCUGAUCAAGCCAUACCGCGUGAGUGAAGAACGCCGUCUGGUUGAAAAGCGCUUUUGUGGUGAAAAAAAAGCAGCAGGUUAAUACACCGUUGUUGAGACGGAACCCAAAGAAUAAGCACCGGCUAUACUCG
rnacentral:rRNA from 1 species